AGCAGCCGCGGUAAUUCCAGCUCCAAUAGCGUAUAUUAAAGUUGUUGCAGUUAAAAAGCUCGUAGUUGAAUUUCGGGAUUUGUCAGUUGGUCGGGCUUCACUGUCCGUACUGACUUGAUGAGUUCCUACCUUCUGAAUAACCAGCAUGCUAUUAAGUUAGUGCGUUGGGGAAGCAGAUCUAUUACCUUGAAAAAUUAGAGUGCUUAAAGCGGGCUUAUGCUUGAAUAGAUUAGCAUGGAAUAAUAAAAUAGGACGGCAUGGUUCUAUUUUGUUGGUUUCUAGGAUCACCGUAAUGAUUAAUAGGGAUAGUUGGGGGCAUUAGUAUUCAAUUGUCAGAGGUGAAAUUCUUGGAUUUAUUGAAGACUAACUUCUGCGAAAGCAUUUGCCAAGGAUGUUUUCAUUAAUCAAGAACGAAAGUUAGGGGAUCGAAGACGAUCAGAUACCGUCGUAGUCUUAACCAUAAGCUAUGCCGACUAGGAAUCGGACGAAGUUAAUUUUUAAUGAC
rnacentral:rRNA from 1 species